rnacentral:tRNA from 1 species
GGGGGUAGAUGGGUCCUGGUGGGUCCUCAGGACUUCAAAUCCUGUAUCGGAUGGCGAUCCCGUCCGGGGUGGGUUCGAUUCCCACAUACUCCCGCCA